rnacentral:rRNA from 1 species
UACGAAGGGGGCUAGCGUUGCUCGGAAUUACUGGGCGUAAAGGGCGCGUAGGCGGACAGUUUAGUCAGAGGUGAAAGCCCAGGGCUCUACCUUGGAAUUGCCUUUGAUACUGGCUGUCUUGAGUUCGGGAGAGGUGAGUGGAAUGCCGAGUGUAGAGGUGAAAUUCGUAGAUAUUCGGCGGAACACCAGUGGCGAAGGCGACUCACUGGCCCGAUACUGACGCUGAGGCGCGAAAGCGUGGGGAGCAAACAGG